rnacentral:rRNA from 1 species
CCUACGGGAGGCAGCAGUGAGGGAUAUUGGUCAAUGGCCGAGACGCUGAACCAGCGACGUCGCGUGAGGGAAGACGGCUCUACGUGUUGUAAACCCCUUUUGCCGGGGAGAAAGGAGUGUCACGUGUGGACCAUUGAGCGUCCCCGAAGUAAAAGCAUCGGCUAACUCCGUUCCAGCAGCCGCGGUAAUACGCAGGAUGCGAGCGUUAUCCGGAUUUAUUGGGUGUAAAGGGUGCGUAGGCGGAAGGUUAAGGCAGCGGUCAAAUGUCGGUGCUCAACACCGGCCUGCCGUGGAAACUGGUGUUCUUGAGUGAGCGAGAAGUAUGCGGAAUGCGUGGUGUAGCGGUGAAAUGCAUAGAUAUCACGCAGAACUCCGAUGGCGAAGGCAGCAUACCGGCGCGCAACUGACGCUGAGGCACGAAAGCGUGGGGAUCGAACAGGAUUAGAUACCCCUGUAGUC